rnacentral:rRNA from 2 species
CGCCAGUGGCAUCGCCGGGUAGCUAUGUUCGGAAGAGAUAACCGCUGAAAGCAUCUAAGCGGGAAACUCGCCUUAAGAUGAGAUAUCCCUGGGGACUAGAUCCCCUUGAAGGGUCGUUCGAGACCAGGACGUUGAUAGGUCAGGUGUGUAAGCGCAGUAAUGCGUUCAGCUAACUGAUACUAAUUGCCCGUAAGGCUUGAUCCUAUAACA